rfam:Struthio camelus australis contig54741, whole genome shotgun sequence.
GACGAGGUGGCCGAGCGGGGAAGGCGAUGGACUGCUAAUCCAUUGUGCUCUGCACGCAUGGGUUCAAAUCCCAUCCUCGUCG